rnacentral:rRNA from 1 species
CCUACGGGAGGCUGCAGUGGGGAAUAUUGGGCAAUGGAGGCAACUCUGACCCAGCAACGUCGCGUGAAUGAUGAAGGUCUUCGGAUUGGAAAGUUCUUUUCUAAGGGAAGAAGAAAGUGACGGUACCUCAGUAAUAAACCUCGGCGAACUACGGGCCAGCAGCCGCGGUAAUACGUAGGAGGCAAGCUUUAUCCGGAAUGACUGGGCGUAAAGGGUGCGUAGGUGGUUUGACAAGUUAGUAGCGCAACUCCGGGGCUCAACUUCGGCACUACUACUAAAACUGUUGGACUUGAGUGCAGGAGGAGCAAGCGGAAUUCGUAGUGUAGCGGUGGAAUGCGUAGAUAUUAGGAGGAACACCGGUGGCGAAGGCGGAUUGCUAGACUGUAACUGACACUGAGGCACGAAAGCGUGGGGAGCAAACAGGAUUAGAUACCCGAGUAGUC